CACGUAGGGUGCGAGCGUUGUCCGGAAUUAUUGGGCGUAAAGAGCUCGUAGGCGGUGUGUCGCGUCGGCCGUGAAAACUUGGGGCUUAACUCUGAGCGUGCGGUCGAUACGGGCAUCACUUGAGUUCGGCAGGGGGAGACUGGAAUUCCUGGUGUAGCGGUGAAAUGCGCAGAUAUCAGGAGGAACACCGGUGGCGAAGGCGGGUCUCUGGGCCGAUACUGACGCUGAGGAGCGAAAGCAUGGGGAGCGAACAGG
rnacentral:rRNA from 1 species